GACGAACGCUGGCGGCGUGCCUAAUACAUGCAAGUAGAACGCACAGUUUAUACCGUAGCUUGCUACACCAUAAACUGUGAGUUGCGAACGGGUGAGUAACGCGUAGGUAACCUGCCUGGUAGCGGGGGAUAACUAUUGGAAACGAUAGCUAAUACCGCAUAAUAUUGAUUAUUGCAUGAUAAUUGAUUGAAAGGUGCUAUUGCAUCACUACCAGAUGGACCUGCGUUGUAUUAGCUAGUAGGUGAGGUAACGGCUCACCUAGGCGACGAUACAUAGCCGACCUGAGAGGGUGAUCGGCCACACUGGGACUGUGACACGGCCCAGACUCCUACGGGAGGCAGCAGUAGGGAAUCUUCGGCAAUGGACGAAAGUCUGACCGAGCAACGCCGCGUGAGUGAAGAAGGUUUUCGGAUCGUAAAGCUCUGUUGUAAGAGAAGAACGGGUGUGAGAGUGGAAAGUUCACACUGUGGCGGUAUCUUACCAGAAAGGGACGGCUAACUACGUG
rnacentral:rRNA from 1 species